rnacentral:rRNA from 1 species
ACGAACGCUGGCGGCGUGCUUAACACAUGCAAGUCGAACGGUGAAGCCUUCGGGUGGAUCAGUGGCGAACGGGUGAGUAACACGUGAGCAAUCUGCCCUUGACUCUGGGAUAACUUCGGGAAACCGGAGCUAAUACCGGAUAUGACAUCUGGCCGCAUGGUCUGGGUGUGGAAAGAUUUAUCGGUCAGGGAUGAGCUCGCGGCCUAUCAGCUUGUUGGUGGGGAAUGGCCCACCAAGGCGACGACGGGUAGCCGGCCUGAGAGGGCGACCGGCCACACUGGGACUGAGACACGGCCCAGACUCCUACGGGAGGCAGCAGUGGGGAAUAUUGCGCAAUGGGCGAAAGCCUGACGCAGCGACGCCGCGUGAGGGAUGAAGGCCUCGGUCGUAA